GUUGAACGCUGGCGGAAUGCUUUACACAUGCAAGUCGAACGAUGAAUCCUAGCUUGCUAGGAGGAUUAGUGGCGAACGGGUGAGUAAUAUAUCGGAACGUACCCAGUAAUGGGGGAUAACGAGUCGAAAGAUUCGCUAAUACCGCAUACAACCUGAGGGUAAAAGCAGGGGAUCGAAAGACUUUGCGUUAUUGGAGCGGCAGAUAUCGGAUUAGCUAGUUGGUGAGGUAAAGGCGCACCAAGGCGACGAUCCGUAGCUAGUCUGAGUAGGACGACCAGCCACACUGGAACUGAGACACGGUCCAGACUCCUACGGGAGGCAGCAGUGGGGAAUUUUGGACAAUGGGGGCAACCCUGAUCCUGCCAUUCCGCGUGAGUGAAGAAGGCCUUCGGGUUGUAAAGCUCUUUCGCAAGGGAAGAAAACUUAGGCUCUAACAUAGCUUGAGGCUGACGGUACCUUGAUAAGAAGCACCGGCUAACUACGUGCCAGCAGCCGCAGUAAUAC
rnacentral:rRNA from 1 species